ACGUAAACAAGAUGGAGAGCCUAGUUUCGGUGUUAGAGUCGUACCGUGGGAAGGACAGGAUCAUCCGAUUCACCGGUUAUGUCGCAACAUUUCUUGCAGGUACAGCUAAAGGAAAGUCUGCCCUCCAUUUCAGAACGAUCGCCACUGAGCUGUCAGCAUGUCGGACGGUGCUGCGUCUAUUUGAUGACACUUCGAUGCUCAUGCACAAUCUAGUUUAUGGCACUGGAUCAAAGGAGCCAGUUACAGCUCUGAGAAUACUUCAGUUGAUAAGUAACCUUGUCAACCAGUUAUUUUACCCAGUAGAACACAUCGCAUGGCUUGGAGACAAGAAAAUCCUCAACGUCGAGUCCGGCAAAUUAUGGGUGUGGGGAUUGUAUAUCUGGGCUACCUCUCUUCUGACAGAAAUAAUCAAGAGCCUGGUAAAGAUUCGUCUGGCCCAGAUGGAAAUUAAAGGACUGAAAAAACAGCAGUUUUUGGCUUCAGCAGAUAGAAAUAGCAAUACAGAACAAUCCCAGGCGAUGUCCGACCAACUUCAGGCUGUUAAGGCUAAGUCCAGCGAUACCUAUCUCCUUAUGUUCCAAAGCAUUUUUGACUUAAUGAACGCCGUCAGUUGGAUGCCACCAGGAGUUUUAUGGUCCGGUAAACUAUCCCCCGCGCAGAACGGAAUUUGUGGUAUGAUAUCUACUGGUAUAAUGCUGUAUAGGAACUGGCCUGUCAAAAAGGAAAAGAAAUCGUAGAUAUAUAUAUAGUCUUGUUAUAAUGCUGUCUUAGAUUUCUCUUUACCAAAAAUCAAAUAUAUUCUCUGUUAUAAUUUAGUACUCUCAAUGCAGAAAGUUUAAGGAGUCAGCAAUUUUUUGUGUCACAGACAGUUUUUGAAUUAUUUUAAAGAAAGUUAAAAUAAAAGUAAAAUUGUUUGAAAAAUAAGCUGAAUACUGUUUAUAGAGUGAAUUUAUAUUGUCUUCCAGAAUAUUGUAGAAAAGUUUUUAAUUUCUAUGUCACAGAAAAGUUUUUGAUUUCUCUGUCACAGAAACAUUUUUAAUUUCUCUGUCACAGAAAAAUUUUUAAUUUCUCUGUGACAAAAAAGUUUUUAAUUUCUGUGUGACAGAAAAGUUUUUAAUUUCAAAAAAAUUAUCUGUAUUGUAAGAAAUAUUAAAUGUAAAUUUAAUUCAUUUUACAACAAUUAUGAAACAAAUUAUAUCAACUUAUGUAAAUCAUACUUGUUGUCCUGGAUUGAAGUGCACAAGGGUUUUUACUGUGAGAGGAGAUCCGAGUUCCCGGGGAAAACCCCACAUGGCCGAGCAGGUGACCCCAUACCUUUUUUAAAAGAAAUAUUGAAUGGUCUGUGUAGAGAAAAAUUUAGAUUUUCUCUUCGAAAGAAAUUUUGUUAAAUAUUUUUUGUCCCAGAAAUGCUGAGAACUGUCUGUGUGAUAGAUCAACAUUAAUUGGUUGGAUUAUCACAGAACGCCUGUUCUGCUUUGUGUGGAUGUCGGUGCAAUGUAUAAUAUGAUAAUGUAUAUCAAACAAUAUGUAAGAUUCACCAUGUGCCAUACAUCAGUUGACCAGACUGUAUAAAUUGUUUAACAUGUACAGACUAUUAUUAUCAUUACAGUAUCUGGUUGGCUGAUCAGAUCGCCUUUCAUCUGUCAUCAAAACAUUAUGCUGAAUGUCCAUAUGCAGUUGUUGUUAGCAUUUAAAAAAAAAAAGAAAAACUUUUCAAUUUUCUUGUGUAAUACCUCUGUAGUUGGUUUAGUGGUAUACCUCUGUAGGUGAUUUAGUGGUGUUCCCCUGUAGGUGAUUUAGUGGUGUCCCUCUGUAGGUCGUUUAGCGGUGUACUUCUGUAGGUGAUUUAGCGGUGUACCUCUGUAGGUGGUUUAGUGGUGUCCCUCUGUAGGUGGUUUACUGGUGUUCCCCUGUAGGUGAUUUAGCGGUGUACCUCUGUAGGUGGUUUAGCGUUGUCCCUCUGUAGGUGGUUUAGUGGUGUUCCCCUGUAGGUGGUUUAGUGGUAUACCUCUGUAGGUGGUUUAGUGGUAUACCUCUGUAGGUGGUUUAGCGGUAUACCUCUGUAGGUGGUUUAGUGGUAUACCUCUGUAGGUGGUUUACUGGUGUUCCCCUGUAGGUGGUUUAGUGGUGUUCCCCUGUAGGUGGUUUAGUGGUGUUCCCCUGUAGGUGGUUUAGUGGUAUACCUCUGUAGAUGGUUUAGUGGUAUACCUGUGUAGGUGGUUUAGUGGUAUACCUCUGUAGGUGGUUUAGCGGUGUUCCCCUGUAGGUGGUUUAGUGGUAUACCUGUGUAGGUGGUUUAGUGGUAUACCUCUGUAGGUGGUUUAGUGGUAUAUAUCUGUAGGUCGUUAAGCGGUGUACCUCUGUAGGUGAUUUAGUGGUGUCCCUCUGUAGGUGGUUUAGUGGUGUUCCCUUGUAGGUGGUUUAGUGGUAUACCUCUGUAGGUGGUUUAGCGGUGUACCUCUGUAGGUGGUUUAGCGGUGUACCUCUAUAGGUGGUUUAGCGGUGUACCUCUGUAGGUGGUUUAGCUGUGUACCUCUGUAGGUGGUUUAGCGAUGUACCUCUGUAGGUGGUUUAGCGGUGUACCUCUGUAGGUGGUUUAGUGGUGUUCCCCUGAAGGUGGUUUAGUGGUGUUCCCCUGUAGGUGGUUUAGCGGUAUACCUCUGUAGGUGGUUUAGUGGUAUACCUCUGUAGGUGGUUUAGUGGUGUUCCCUUGUAGGUGGUUUAGUGGUAUACCUGUGCAGGUGGUUUAGUGGUAUACCUCUGUAGGUGGUUUACUGGUGUUCCCCUGUAGGUGGUUUAGUGGUAUACCUCUGUAGGUGGUUUAGUGGUAUACCUCUGUAGGUGGUUUAGUGGUGUUCCUGUGUAGGUGGUUUACUGGUGUUCCCCUGUAGGUGAUUUAGCGGUGUACCUCUGUAGGUCGUUUAGCGGUGUCCCUCUGUAGGUGGUUUAGCGGUGUACCUCUGUAGGUGGUUUAGUGGUAUACCUCUGUAGGUGGUUUAGUGGUGUUCCCCUGUAGGUGGUUUAGUGGUAUACCUCUGUAGGUGGUUUAGUGGUAUACCUCUGUAGGUGGUUUAGUGGUAUACCUAUGUAGGUGGUUUAGCGGUGUACCUCUGUAGGUGGUUUAGUGGUGUUCCCCUGUAGGUGGUUUAGCUGUGUCCCUCUGUAGGUGGUUUAGUGGUAUACCUCUGUAGGUCGUUUAGCGGUAUACCUCUGUAGGUGGUUUAGUGGUGUCCCUUUGUAGGUGGUUUACUGGUGUUCCCCUGUAGGUGGUUUAGUGGUGUUCCCCUGUAGGUGGUUUAGCGGUGUCCCUCUGUAGGUGGUUUAGCAGUGUACCUCUGUAGGUGGUUUAGCGGUGUACCUCUGUAGGUGGUUUAGUGGUGUUCCCCUGUAGGUGGUUUAGUGGUAUACCUCUGUAGGUGGUUUAGUGGUAUACCUCUGUAGGUGGUUUAGCGGUAUACCUCUGUAGGUGGUUUAGCGGUAUACCUCUGUAGGUGAUUUAGUGGUAUACCUCUGUAGGUGGUUUAGUGGUAUACCUCUGUAGGUGGUUUAGUGGUAUACCUCUGUAGGUGAUUUAGUGGUAUACCUCUGUAGGUGGUUUAGUGGUAUACCUCUGUAGGUGGUUAAGUGGUAUACCUCUGUAGGUGGUUUAGCGGUGUACCUCUGUAGGUGGUUUAGCGGUGUCCCUCUGUAGGUCGUUUAGCGGUGUACCUCUGUAGGUGGUUUACUGGUGUUCCCCUGUAGGUGGUUUAGUGGUGUUCCCCUGUAGGUGGUUUAGUGGUAUACCUCUGUAGGUGGUUUAGCGGUGUACCUCUGUAGGUGGUUUAGUGGUAUACCUGUGUAGGUGGUUUAGUGGUAUACCUGUGUAGGUGGUUUAGUGGUAUACCUCUGUAGGUGGUUUAGUGGUAUACCUGUGUAGGUGGUUUAGUGGUAUACCUCUGUAGGUGGUUUAGUGGUAUACCUCUGUAGGUGGUUUAGUGGUGUACCUCUGUAGGUGGUUUAGUGGUAUACCUCUGUAGUUGGUUUAUCUGUGUCCCUCUGUAGGUGGUUUAGUGGUGUAUUUUCUGUAGGUGGUUUAGUGGUGUAUUUUCUGUAGGUGGUUUAGUGGUAUACCUCUGUAGGUGGUUUAGUGGUGUUCCCCUGUAGGUGGUUUAGUGGUAUACCUCUGUAGGUGGUUUAGUGGUAUACCUCUGUAGGUGGUUUAGUGGUAUACCUCUGUAGGUGGUUUAGUGGUGUCCCUCUGUAGGUGGUUCACUGGUGUUCCCCUGUAGGUCGUUUACUGGUGUUCCCCUGUAGGUGGUUUAGUGGUGUUCCCCUGUAGGUGGUUUAGCGGUGUUCCACUGUAGGUGGUUUAGUGGUGUUCCCCUGUAGGUGGUUUAGUGGUAUACCUCUGUAGGUGGUUUAGUGGUGUUCCCCUGUAGGUGGUUUACUGGUGUUCCCCUGUAGGUGGUUUAGUGGUGUCCCCCUGUAGGUGGUUUAGCGGUGUCCCUCUGUAGGUGAUUUAGUGGUAUACCUCUGUAGGUGGUUUAGUGGUGUUCCCCUGUAGGUGGUUUAGCGGUGUACCUCUGUCUCGUAGCGUUAAGCAGUAAAGACCAAUUGAUUUGUUUACAAUUUUUCAUACUUCACUCUCGCAGUAAAUCUGCCUCACUGGUAAUCUCUGAUAAAGUUAACAGUUAUAUCAAAUGUUAUGUAUUUUUAGGUAUUAGUUACUUUAAUACUAAGCAGUGUUCUUGAAUUUCUGUGUUUAAUGAUUGCUAUUAUUUUGCUCCAACGACUGGAUAAAUCUUUUUUGUGAUGAAAGAACCAUAGAUACUGCCAGGUAACAGGUUGUCACCCAUCGUUCUGCAGUUGUACACAUCUUUAAGGCUGUUGCUCCAAUGAAAAAGAGAAAAUGGACAAUGACUUACCUGAUACAGGUCUUAUGAUGGUGAGCGCCAUGAUCCCGCUUGUCUUGCCUGCAAUUACUGCAAAACUACUUCAAAUUUGAAUUUUACAUUGUAAGUUGUAAUGACAAUUACACUUUUUAGUUUGAAUUUUGUUGAAUUUCAAUCUAUAAUGCAUUACAUUUAAAGCUAGAAAAUAAAAAAAUUGGACAAGUUUUAUUUAGUCAGCGAGAAAGGAAUGCAGCGAUCUAUGUAAAAUACUUAAUUUCGAUCUAGAAUUUUCCCGAAGAGAAGGGAAACAACUCCGCUACACUACUUGUCACAAAAUACAUGAACUUGGUACCAACUGUAUAAAGUGAUAUUUCUAAUUAACGCCAAUAAAUGAGAAAUAUGAUUGACAGUCCGAAAAUAGUCUCUAAAGGGCCGACAUUACCUACUUAUAGAGGAGGCGGAAAACAAUAGGUUUUCUUUGAGGUGCAAUUAAUUACAUUAUGUAUUAGUUUUACUUGAGAUUAAAGAUAGUCAGGAAGCUUUAACUGAUAGGGUUGGUUAUAGCAUAUAAGUAUUAAUAGGUUUAGUGGUUUUAUAAAGUAUGUCAUUGCUUUUUCUUGUUUUCAAUCAAUCAUAAUAACUGUUUCUUGGAUAUUUGGUAUUAUUAAGAGAAAAUUGUAUAUAUAACUUUAAGCAGAAUGUGCAAAGCGGACCAUAAUUGAGUACUGUGCUUCAAAAGAUAAAUUUUAAUUAUAAAAUAUGUGUUAAGCCAAGACCAAAAUGAUAUGUUUAUAGACAAAACAUUCAGCUAUAAAGAAAUAUAACAGUUAAUUACACAAUUAUCACAGAAUAUAUAAGAUUCAUGCCUGUAAUUAUAUAACACGAAUGAGAACAGUUUAGUAUAUAUGUGUACAGGUAGAGUGUUACUGACACCAAGUGUGCUGAAAUGUUAAAAUCGAUAAGUAAUCAGAGAAAAUUUGUUGUGGAUUAGAUUUCCUGGUUUUGGUUAUUAAAAUGUUUUAAAUAUAGAUAUUUUCUGCGUGUACUUAUAAUUUCCUAAUUAUGACAUGUUUGACAUGGGACUUUUUUUAGACCAAUCAUGUAUUUUCAUUACAGAAUAAAGUCAUAUUGAUAGCACCAGUCAAUAUCAAAUAGUUGACUUAAGGAAAGAUAAGAGAAACAUUCUGAUUUUGAAAAAAAAAUCAAUUUAGUGCGGAUGCAUUAAUAGAAUUAUCUAUCAGUAUGUUAACUGUACAUGUUUGAUUGAAAUUGGUAAUCAAGUCCAGAUUUUGAAUUGAUUAUAGAUUAUAAAAUUAUGUCCCGUUAAUUUUUUAUUCAAGUUGAUUUAUAUUUCAAGUGAUACACAAUACUUUUUUGAGUACAGUAGGAAUUAAUUAUAUGGAAUUGAUCUUUUUCAAUGAAAUGGAAUAAUUUUUUUGACAAUAUUCAUUGUAGACACCAGACAAUCCAUUUCAACGUUAUUGUUUUUUGUUAUUUUUAACAUACCAUAAAAAGGACUAGACUGCAUGCGAAUUUUUCUUAUCCAGCAUUUGCUCUUGGCAGUUGUUUUUUUUAACUUUUUAAAUAUUCUUUCAUUUGAUGGAAAAUACAGUAUACAUUAAACAAACAUGACUUUUGCCUUAAAAGCAGAAAAAAGGGAAAAGAAUAAAUAAAAGAAGAAAAAUCAUUUAUGUAAAGAUUCUGUCGGAGACAGAAAAUAAAAACUCUUACCUAGCAAUUAUGAUUUUCUUGGAAAAGAAGCAGAAAACGUAUUUUUUAAAUGGAAGUCGAAUUCGAUUCGUUAGAAUAAAAAAUCAAAACUUACAAGCUCAUCUAUCUAAUGAGUUUCUAUGUGAAACAGGUUUGUUGAAUACUUAAUCUCAGGUGGUGAUUAAAUGUUUUUUAUAAGAUUUAAGGUAGAUAUGUGGCAAUAAGAACCUCAGAAAGAGAUAUUAGUGCGGAUAUUGUCACGAUACCAGGGAAAAUACAGUAAACUUUCCAUAAAAACUCUGUAAAGAGAUAUAGGCGAGGCUAUUGUCAAGAUAUCACUACCAGGGAAAAUACAGCAAAGUUUCCAUACAAACUCUGUAAAGCGAUAUUACAAUCGUAAGCCAACAUCACUAUGCUGUAACAUUAAAAAUCCGGGUCAUUAUAAAAGUCACUAAACUCCAAUCAAUGAGGGUACAUGUUUCUUUCCAAUAACUUUCAAUUCAUACAUUUUAUUUUCACUAAUUCUAUUUUGUUAAACAUAAUGACAGAAAUCAAUAACUAAAGAAAUAUUUUUUUAUUAUUUUUUUUUGUGCUUUGUUAAUUUUUCUUAAGAAGAGAUAUUUAUGUUUAAAUACAGUACAUUUGCUGAGGUUUAAAGCAAUGUUCGUGUGGAUGAUUAUAUAAGUGAUUACUUUUUUAGUUGUAAUUCCACAUGAAAACCGGUGUGAUUAAAUGGUAUAUUGUGUCUAUCCCAGACUCUAAUCAUGUAUUGUAUUUAGAUUUAUUUAAUUUGUGUAUUCAAAUAUCAUUCAAAUUGUUGUCUGUUGCGAAUGAAUGAUUUAAACCCUAUUUUUAUAUUAUGCAGAAUAAAGCAGAAUUGUAAUGAAA